ACAGACAGGAAGUCAUGUGAUGUACACCUGACUGUGCACUGACUGGAGGAGCCAGCAGCCACAGGAAGAGGAGCAGCCCUGUUAGUGCACUAUCAGCCAGCCACACAGAGGGAUGAAGACGCCGCAGAGGCUCAGUAUUAGCACCACCAGUCUGUGACAUAGUCAGAUGAAUGUGAAAUAUCCAGACACAGCAGCUAUCUAGCAUCACUACAGACAAGAUUCUUCUAUACACACUGCUGACAAAUGGACAUGACUAUACAGUAUGAGGGUUGUGAUCUGAAUGAAAUCCGGCAACAAAACUGAUGACAAAACCGACCUUGGGAGGAAGGACCCUAUCUCUUGGAGGGUCCCAACUUUCCAAGGGAUUCCAUGGCUGUGCAGAUAAGUUUGAGGCUGGCUAUUGUUACGGCGGGGAACCCCACUCUGUGUGUCUCCCUGCUACAGAGGAAGUCCAUCGAUGAUUCAGCCAGGUGAUGGAUUUUGGGAAAUAGUGGCGUGGGACAACCCCUAUUUUCUAAUACCAGGCCAAGUUAAGAGGUCCGGGGCUGAUUAUUGGUUUGAAGGAGGCCCAUGCAUUUAUUUUUUUAAUUUAAACAUAUACAGUAUUUAACCUAACAAAGCUAGGUCUGUGAUCUGUGCAGUGCUUCUCCCAAACUCACCUACAGUACCGCAAGCAGUCUAUUGUUUUCGGGUUGUUUUUUGCUCGGUUUUAAAACCAAGUAUUAGUAAAUCUGUGGCUCCUAUUGUUGACUAUGUUAAACCACAAUUGU